rnacentral:rRNA from 1 species
AUGGGCAGAGUACAUUCAGCAGACUCUCUGUUGAAACUGGUGUCGGAACUUAAGAGGACAGCCAUCUUUUCUGGGCUUGCUUCUUUGAGUGAGAAUGUUGAUAUAGGAGGAUUGAGGUGCUCAAUCAGCAGGCAGAGGGGGACAGAUAGAAUACUGCAGAGGAUUGGGCAGGAGGCAGCAACAGCCGUUAAGGAGUUGGAGGCACAUUACUACUCAUCUGUUGUGUAG